ensembl:snRNA U6 U6 spliceosomal RNA
GUGCUUGUCUAGAUAGCACUUACACUAAAAAAUUAGAGUGAUAAAGAGAAGAUUAGCAUGGCUUCUGAGCAAAGAUAACAUGCACAUUCAUGAAGUAUUCUAUAUUUGU